rnacentral:rRNA from 1 species
CGAAGAACCUUACCAAGGCUUGACAUGAACCGGUAACGCCUGGAAACAGGUGCCCCGCUUGCGGUCGGUUUACAGGUGGUGCAUGGUUGUCGUCAGCUCGUGUCGUGAGAUGUUGGGUUAAGUCCCGCAACGAGCGCAACCCUCGUUCUAUGUUGCCAGCACGUAAUGGUGGGAACUCAUGGGAUACUGCCGGGGUCAACUCGGAGGAAGGUGGGGAUGACGUCAAAUCAUCAUGCCCCUUAUGUCUUGGGCUUCACGCAUGCUACAAUGGCCGGUACAAAGGGCUGCAAUACCGUGAGGUGGAGCGAAUCCCAAAAAGCCGGUCCCAGUUCGGAUUGAGGUCUGCAACUCGACCUCAUGAAGUCGGAGUCGCUAGUAAUCGCAGAUCAGCAACGCUGCGGUGAAUACGUUCCCGGGUCUUGUACACACCGA